ACCAGAGCAAGAAAAAUGGAAACGCUGGUUGGAAUUGACAAAGGGAGGGUGAAAAAGGAGGGUUCGGUUCGAGGGGCGGAAUCAUUGUUAUGGAAAAUGGACGGAGAUGGAAUCUUUUCUGAAAGCGUUUCGCUAUAAGGGUGAAGGAAGUGAAGUGACGUAUAGCGAAAGGAAGGGUUCGAAGCUCUGUUUCGAUCGCAGCGCCAUCGUACGAACCACGCGAAAGGUCAUUAGCCAGUAAUCGAUAAGGUAGAGAGGGGUGGGUCGAUAAUGUCGGCUCUGGAAGAAAACAACCCCAUUUCAUUGCCCAUCAUUGGGACACUGAGGAAAUUCCAAAGGUUUUAGGAACGUUGGUUUUAAAACUAUGAAGGAGUUCAAGAUUAUUACACAGACAUGCCACUCUCUAUGCAGACUUCAAUAGAACGUCAACAUUAAUCAAGCUAAUGCCAGGCGUCUCGAAUCCUUACGAUCAUUA